UCGGACACAGCUUCUCUCACCACAGGGACGUCUGGUAGUUAAACUUGAUCUUCAGGAGAUACUUCAUAUUUACCUGAGCCACGUCAUACACAAUGUACCUGGAGGAGCAGCGGUUAAAGAAAACAAGAGACUGUACAGGACAGAGACAAUGUGUUCAAUGCAGGGCACUCAUGAUUACCUGAAUCUGGAUCCACAGCAGCUCCUCCUUUAACUGUGAGUUUCAUCUUCUUGGCUUUGCUGCUCCCUGUAACAGCGUAGACGCAAGAUUAAAAGAUAGAGUCUGGAUGAGCACGGAAAAUCCUUUACCUCCCUCCUCCUUCACUCUCCCCAUGCUCUUGGUGGCCAGCUCUCCAGACUUGGACGCCACGGAGGGAGCCUGGGCCUCGACUUUGACCUCUGCGCCCCAUGGCGAGAUGGCAUGCAGGGAGACCAGUUCCUGGAGAGCUUUACCCGACGACGUGACAUCCGUGAGGAAAUCCUCGGAGACCACGCGCACGCCAGCGUCCCUCGCCUCCUCCAUUUUCUUGGUCAUCUUCUCCACCUCCUCUGUACAAGCACAAGGACAAAGAACGUGUCAGAAGCCAAAGAUGUUAAAUUAUACAUUUUCUUUCGGUGUGAAUAAGUAAUUGCACAUGAAAAUUCUCCCGUUAUUGAAUCGUUACUCACUCUUGGU